rnacentral:rRNA from 1 species
UAGUGGCGAACGGGUGAGUAACACGUGGGCAAUCUGCCCUGCACUCUGGGACAAGCCCUGGAAACGGGGUCUAAUACCGGAUACUGACCACUGGGGGCAUCCUCGGUGGUCGAAAGCUCCGGCGGUGCAGGAUGAGCCCGCGGCCUAUCAGCUUGUUGGUGAGGUAGUGGCUCACCAAGGCGACGACGGGUAGCCGGCCUGAGAGGGCGACCGGCCACACUGGGACUGAGACACGGCCCAGACUCCUACGGGAGGCAGCAGUGGGGAAUAUUGCACAAUGGGCGAAAGCCUGAUGCAGCGACGCCGCGUGAGGGAUGACGGCCUUCGGGUUGUAAACCUCUUUCAGCAGGGAAGAAGCGAAAGUGACGGUACCUGCAGAAGAAGCGCCGGCUAACUACGUGCCAGCAGCCGCGGUAAUACGUAGGGCGCGAGCGUUGUCCGGAAUUAUUGGGCGUAAAGAGCUCGUAGGCGGCUUGUCACGUCGGUUGUGAAAGCCCGGGGCUUAACCCCGGGUCUGCAGUCGAUACGGGCAGGCUAGAGUUCGGUAGGGGAGAUCGGAAUUCCU